UACGAAGGGGGCUAGCGUUGCUCGGAAUCACUGGGCGUAAAGGGUGCGUAGGCGGGUUUUUAAGUCAGGGGUGAAAUCCUGGAGCUCAACUCCAGAACUGCCUUUGAUACUGAAGAUCUUGAGUCCGGGAGAGGUGAGUGGAACUGCGAGUGUAGAGGUGAAAUUCGUAGAUAUUCGCAAGAACACCAGUGGCGAAGGCGACUUCCUGGCCUGUUCUUGACGCUGAGGCGCGAAAGCUAGGGUAGCAAACGGG
rnacentral:rRNA from 1 species